UCUCGACUCAUUCCCUGACUAUGAGAAGGGAUUGAGUGACGAUUCGUUUAGCAACCUUGUGACCCAGCAUGACACCGUGAACAAGAUUGGUCGACCGUCUGCUGGGAUAUCAUUUAUAUAACACGUUGUCUGAUAAAGGAGCAAUAGCUUCCUCAAUGGAUCCGUACGGUCAUCAGCUCUGCCAUGUAUCACAGACCACCUGGCUGUGUACGUCUCCUGACUGCCACCUCACUUUCCUGUUCAACAAAGGCUGGUCCAGUCUGACCUGUCCUUGGGUCUUUUGAUCCAUCUGUAUAUUGGGGCGACAGGGUAGCCUAGUGGUUAGUGUUGGACUAGCAACCGGAAGGUUGCAAGUUCAAAUCCCCGACUUGACAAGGUACAACUCUGUCAUUCUGCCCCUGAAGAGGCAGUUAACCCACUCUUCCAAGGACGUCAUUGAAAAUAAGAAUUUGUUCUUAACUGACUUGCCUAGUUAAAUAAAGUUUUUAAAAAAAUACAUGUGAAAAAAAAUAAAGUAGUUUUGAAAGGUAAUGACUGGUAUAAUACAUAUGGUGGAAACUAGCCCAUGCCUCCACCAACCCAAUACUAUUAGAUUAGUAGGAAGUUGUGAACGAUUGAACAUUUAAGCAAAAAGGUGAUAUUCUAGGGAUGCACCCAAAUUAGAGGUGUGGACUAAAUUAAUAAAAUAUUUGGUUUAAUGAUACUGUUUAAUAUUUAUUGUGGC